GCCGAAAUAGCUCAGUUGGGAGACCGUUAGACUGAAGAUUUAAAGGUCCCUGGUUCGAUCCCGGGUUUCGGCA
rnacentral:tRNA from 1 species